UAACGCGAAGAACCUUACCAAGGCUUGACAUCGAUGGAAGACCGCUGAAAGGCGGUUGCUCUUCGGAGCCAGAAGACAGGUGGUGCAUGGCUGUCGCCAGCUCGUGUCGUGAGAUGUUGGGUUAAGUCCCGCAACGAGCGCAACCCCUACUGCCAGUUGCCAGCAAGUAAAGUUGGGCACUCUGGCGGGACUGCCGGUGACAAACCGGAGGAAGGCGGGGAUGAGGUCAAGUCAUCAUGCCCUUUAUGCCUUGGGCUACACACGUACUACAAUGGCCGGUACAGAGGGAGGCGAAGGCGCGAGCCGGAGCGGAUCCCAUAAAGCCGGUCCCAGUUCAGAUCGCAGGCUGCAACCCGCCUGCGUGAAGUCGGAAUCGCUAGUAAUCUCAGGUCAGCAUACUGAGGUGAAUACGUUCCCGGGUCUUGUACACACCGA
rnacentral:rRNA from 1 species